CCGGCGAGGGGAGUGAAAAAGAACCUGAAACCGUGUACGUACAAGCAGUGGGAGCACCCUUUGGGGUGUGACUGCGUACCUUUUGUAUAAUGGGUCAGCGACUUAUAUUCUGUAGCAAGGUUAACCGAAUAGGGGAGCCGGAGGGAAACCGAGUCUUAAUUGGGCGUUAAGUUGCAGGGUAUAGACCCGAAACCCGGUGAUCUAGCCAUGGGCAGGUUGAAGGUUGGGUAACACUAACUGGAGGACCGAACCGACUAAUGUUGAAAAAUUAGCGGAUGACCUGUGGCUGGGGGUGAAAGGCCAAUCAAACCGGGAGAUAGCUGGUUCUCCCCGAAAGCUAUUUAGGUAGCGCCUCGUGAAUUCAUCUCCGGGGGUAGAGCACUGUUUCGGCUAGGGGGCCAUCCCGGCUUACCAACCCGAUGCAAACUGCGAAUACCGGAGAAUGUUAUCACGGGAGACACACGGCGGGUGCUAACGUCCGUCGUGAAGAGGGAAACAACCCAGACCGCCAGCUAAGGUCCCAAAGUCAUAGUUAAGUGGGAAACGAUGUGGGAAGGCCCAGACAGCCAGGAUGUUGGCUUAGAAGCAGCCAUCAUUUAAAGAAAGCGUAAUAGCUCACUGGUCGAGUCGGCCUGCGCGGAAGAUGUAACGGGGCUAAACUAUGCACCGAAGCUGCGGCAGCGA
rnacentral:rRNA from 1 species